AGUCCUCUGAAGUGUACGUAACGCUGCGAUAUGUGACCCAGCUGUACCAGAAAAUAGGGAUUCAGCUCUCGUUGCGGUGUGCAAGCCAUUCGAUUGGAAGCCUUAAGCAGCGAUAUGGAACCCACUUGCAGCGUCAGCGGGUCACCGCUUAACCUACGGCACUUUGGAGGAUUU
rnacentral:other from 1 species